rnacentral:rRNA from 1 species
UACAGAGGGUGCAAGCGUUGUUCGGAUUCAUUGGGCGUAAAGGGUGCGUAGGCGGCGCGGUAAGUCGGGUGUGAAAUCUUGGAGCUUAACUCCGAAACUGCAUUCGAUACUGCCGUGCUUGAGGACUGGAGAGGAGACUGGAAUUUACGGUGUAGCGGUGAAAUGCGUAGAUAUCAGGAAGAACACCUAUGGCGAAGGCAGCUCUCUGGGACGGUACUGACGCUGAGACGCGAAAGCGUGGGGAGCGAACAGG